AAAAACACGUUGAAGAGAAGAGUAUAUCAAGAAGUCCUUCCAUAGAGAGCUUGGUCAGGUGAAAGCAAGCAAGGAAAGAAUGAUAGAAGAUGGUCUCAGAGUGGCUUGUCCGAAUGCAUAGCUUUAGGUCAAGACGGGAACGCCCGUUAUAGUGUCACAGUAUCUAUCUCGUUUUAUAGAGGGUACUGGCUAAGGUACAAGGAGCAAUCCUUUUACAAACAAAGGUGGUAACACGAGAUUAAACUUUACUCUCGUCCUUUCU
rnacentral:ncRNA from 1 species